rnacentral:misc_RNA from 1 species
GAUGAAUAACGUAGCAAAAUGCGAUAAGUAAUGUGAAUUGCAGAAUUCAGUGAAUCAUCGAAUCUUUGAACGCACAUUGCGCCCGCCAGUAUUCUGGCGGGCAUGCCUGUUCGAGCGUCAUUUCAACCCUCAAGCACAGCUUGGUGUUGGGACUCGCGUUAAUUCGCGUUCCCCAAAUUGAUUGGCGGUCACGUCGAGCUUCCAUAGCGUAGUAGUAAAACCCUCGUUACUGGUAAUCGUCGCGGCCACGCCGUUAAACCCCAACUUCUGAAUGUUGACCUCGGAUCAGGUAGGAAUACCCGCUGAACUUAAGCAUAUCAAUAAGCGGAGGA